rnacentral:rRNA from 1 species
UACGAGAGGCCCAAACGUUAUUCGGAUUUACUGGGCUUAAAGGGUGCGUAGGCGGCCCGGUAAGUCAGUGGUGAAAGCCUCCAGCUCAACUGGAGAACUGCCAUUGAUACUGCCGGGCUUGAGUACAGACGAGGUUGGCGGAAUUGAUUGUGUAGCGGUGAAAUGCAUAGAUACAAUCAAGAACUCCGAUUGCGUAGGCAGCUAACUAGGCUGUAACUGACGCUGAGGAGCGAAAGCAUGGGGAGCGAACAGG